rnacentral:misc_RNA from 1 species
AACGCACGAGACCUGCGGACCUGCGGAAGGAUCAUUACUGGAUCGUCGAAAGACGUCUCCUUAAACCAUUGUGAACCUACCUCUUUGUCGUGCUUCGGCAGGCGAGCUCCAUUCGUGGGGUCUCCUCGGCCCUAUGAGGGCGCCUGCCGGAGUGCAUAAUCAAAAACUAUUAUGUUGUCUAUGUGGAAUCUCAGAUAAACCAAAGAAAUAUUGUAACAACUUUCAACAACGGAUCUCUAG